GCAACCACCGCGGGAGCAGCCAUCGUCGCCGGAGGAGGAUUUUCGGACAGGUGGAGGAGCUGUGGCAGGGGGUGGUGGCGGGCAGUCAGGCUCUCCCCCAUCCGUGUCUGGGUCGAGCUGCACGACCAUGAGGGCCUCCACCUGCUCCAGGGUCUCAGCCUGGAGUCUCCUACCCAGGUUGGUUGUACGGGGCCCUGCGGCUUCCCGGAUUGUCAAAAAAUUGUGGCCUCUGGCCAUGCUCCGUGGAACGGUAGCGUUGUGGGUAGUCGUCCCUCCGUCCAUGUCCUCUGACAACAGAGGCAUAGCUGGGACGCUGCCCUGUGGCCUGGUAACGUUGGCGAGAGUGGUACUGGGCUGA
rnacentral:lncRNA from 15 species